rnacentral:rRNA from 1 species
AUUGAACGCUGGCGGCAUGCUUUACACAUGCAAGUCGAACGGUAACAGGCCGCAAGGUGCUGACGAGUGGCGAACGGGUGCGUAAUGCAUCGGAACGUGCCCAGUCGUUGGGGAUAACUACUCGAAAGAGUAGCUAAUACCGCAUACGAUCUAUGGAUGAAAGCGGGGGACCGUAAUGCCUCGCGCGAUUUGAGCGGCCGAUGUCAGAUUAGGUAGUUGGUGGGGUAAAGGCUCACCAAGCCAACGAUCUGUAGUUGGUCUGAGAGGACGACCAGCCACACUGGGACUGAGACACGGCCCAGACUCCUACGGGAGGCAGCAGUGGGGAAUUUUGGACAAUGGGCGCAAGCCUGAUCCAGCAAUGCCGCGUGCAGGAAGAAGGCCUUCGGGUUGUAAACUGCUUUUGUACGGAACGAAACGGCUCUGGUUAAUACCCGGGGCUAAUGACGGUACCGUAAGAAUAAGCACCGGCUAACUACGUG